GGGCCCAUAGCUCAGUUGGUUAGAGCACCUGACUCAUAAUCAGGUGGUCGCUGGUUCAAGCCCAGCUGGGCCCA
rnacentral:tRNA from 1 species